rnacentral:rRNA from 1 species
UACGAAGGGGGCUAGCGUUGUUCGGAAUUACUGGGCGUAAAGCGCACGUAGGCGGACUUUUAAGUCAGGGGUGAAAUCCCGGGGCUCAACCUCGGAACUGCCUUUGAUACUGGAAGUCUUGAGUAUGGAAGAGGUAAGUGGAAUUGCGAGUGUAGAGGUGAAAUUCGUAGAUAUUCGCAGGAACACCAGUGGCGAAGGCGACUUACUGGACACAUAUUGACGCUGAGGUGCGAAAGCGUGGGGAGCAAACAGG